rnacentral:tRNA from 1 species
GGAGAGAUGUCCGAGUGGUUGAAGGAGCGCGCCUGGAAAGCGCGUAUAGGCUUUUUUGGUUUAUCAGGGGUUCAAAUCCCCUUCUCUCCGCCA